UGGGGAAUAUUGGACAAUGGGGGGAACCCUGAUCCAGCCAUGCCGCGUGUGUGAAGAAGGCCUUAUGGUUGUAAAGCACUUUAAGCGAGGAGGACGGUACUGGUAUUAAUACUACCAGGUACUGGACGUUACUCGCAGAAUAAGCACCGGCUAACUCUGUGCCAGCAGCCGCGGUAAUACAGAGGGUGCAAGCGUUAAUCGGAAUUACUGGGCGUAAAGCGCGCGUAGGUGGUUCGUUAAGUUGAAUGUGAAAGCCCCGGGCUCAACCUGGGAACUGCAUCCAAAACUGGCGAGCUAGAGUAGGGCAGAGGGUGGUGGAAUUUCCUGUGUAGCGGUGAAAUGCGUAGAUAUAGGAAGGAACACCAGUGGCGAAGGCGACCACCUGGGCUCAUACUGACACUGAGGUGCGAAAGCGUGGGGAGCAAACAGG
rnacentral:rRNA from 1 species